rnacentral:lncRNA from 1 species
GGAUAGAUAAGGGAUCUACCGAAUAGAAUUGAAAGUUCAGAAACUGACACAUAUAUAGUUAUAUAUAUAACAUGCAGUUGAUUUUUGACAAAGUUUCAAAGGGAAUUUAAUGGAGAAAGGAUUAUCUUUCAACAUGUGGUGUGGGAUAAAUUGGUUAUCCAUGUGCAGAAAUAUUAAAGAAUUUUAUUUAUAAUUUUUUCCCAGAAGAAUUCUGCUAAAAAUGGGCCAUAAAUCUAAAUGUAAAAUCUAAAAACUUAACAUUUCUAAAACAAAACAUAAGAGAAAACCUUUAUGACUUUGGGUUAGGCAGAGAUUUCUUAGUUCUGAUAUCAAAAAUAUGAAUCAGAAAAGAAAAAAUAAUAAAUGACACUUCAUAAUUAAGAACUUCUGUUUUUCAAGAUUGUUAAGAGAAUGAAAGACAAGACAUAAACUGGAAGAACAGAUUUGCAAAUUCAUGUCUAAGAAAAGACUUGUAUAGUAUAUUAAACACUCUUCAAAACUCAGACAGCAGAAAACAAAAUACGUAAAAGAUUUAAAUAGACACUUCUUCAGAGAAGAUAUGCAAAUAUCAAAUAAACUUAUGAAAAAAAUGCUCAACAUCAUUAGUUUUAGGGAAAUGAAAAAUAAAACCACAAUGAAAUAGCACUAUGUACUUAUUUAAAAAGUUUAAAAUUAAAAAGACUGGGAGAGUUCCCACUGUGGCUCAGAGGAUUAAGGACAGAAUGUUGUCUCUGUGAGGAUGUGGGUUUGAUCCCAGGCCUCACUCAGUGAGUUAAGGAUCCAGCACCACUGCAAGCUGCCAUGUGUGUCACAGGUGGGGCUUGGAUCCAGUGUUGGUGAGCUUGUGGUGAAGGCUACAGCUGCAUCUCUGAUUCAACCCCUGGCCUCGGAACCUCCAUAUGCUGCAGGUGCUGUUGUAAAAAGAAAAAAUAAAAGACUGGGAGGCUCCCAGUUCCCCUGUAGCACAGGGGGUUAAGGAUCCAGUGUUGCUGCAGCUGUGGUGCAGGCUGCAACUGUGGCAUGGGUUUGAUCCCUGGCUGGGGAACUUCCCACAUGCUGCAAUUGUGGCCAAAAAUUAAAUUAAAUUAUUAAAUUAAAUUAAAUUAAAAGACUGACUAUAUGGAGUGCAUGCUAGGAGGUGGAGCAACCAGAACUCAUACCCUGCUGAUGUAAAUGUAAAUUGAUACAGCUACUUUAAAAAACACUUUGGUAGCUUCAUAAUGUUAAUUAUGCCCUUAUACCAUAAGACUCAGCCAUUUCACUCCUAAGUAUUUAUACAAGUGAAAUGAAAUUCUGUGCUCUUACAAAAAUCACUACACAAAUAUUUGCAGUGGCUUGAUUCAUAAUUGCUCCAACUGGAAUCUCCCCUAAAGUCCUUUAGUUGGAAAAUGGAUAAACAAAUCUGGCACAUACAUACAGAGGAAUAACAUGACUACUCAUUAAUGUAUGCACUAUUGAUAUACAUGAGAAAAUGGAUGAUUUUUAAAUGCCUAAUACUAAGCUAAGGAAUCCAGAAUUGAAAGGCUGCAUACUGUGUUUCAUUCUUAUGAUGUUCUUAAAAAGGGAAAAAAUAGAUCAGUGGUUUAAAGGGACUGGGGCAGCUUACAAAGCAUUAUAAGGUAAUUUUUUGGAGGGAAGGAACUGGUCUACGUUUCGAUUGAUUGUGGUGGUGGUUAUAUGAUGGUGUGUAUAUCAAAACCAGCAGAAUUAUGUGUUACUAAAAAGGGUCAGUUUUACUGCAUGUAAAUUAUACUUUAAUUUCUUUAAGGGUGAAAAUAAAGAUCAAACAAAAAAGUCUGCAUAUCAUGGCCAGUUUCUUCCCUGAUGAGUGUAAUUCUGAACAGACAUGAAAAUUACCCCUGCUGAGCCUGCUCUUGUUGGAUUCCAACCAGCGUUCAGUAACAGCUCUGCCCUGUGUUGACUCAUUUGUAUGUACUUGAGUAUCUAAUUCCUCCAUCUCCGCCUGAGACACUUUGAGAAUAAACUGAAGGGUGGGUGAUACUUAACCUAGAAGUCCAAAGGCCAGAGCAAGAACAAAAUGUUCCAUCACUGUGGGUGGGGGUGAUUCAAGUCAGGCCCAAGGAAGAACUUCCCCGCAGGACAGUACUAGGAGACACUAAAAUAGUUGCAGAGGAAACUGUAAGCACUUUCUCAGAACUCAAAUGAAAGACCACAGGCAUCUGCCUCUCCCGAAUUCUCUCAUAAUCCCACACUUAUGAGCACAUGGCUCAGGCAGGGCCCCAGGCACACUGAAACAAAAGCAAGGUGAAUUUCUGUCCUCCAUAAAAAGGGAGGAAAUUAGGGUCCACAGUUGUGAAAAGAAAUCCACAUGCAGAUGGCUCAAAUGAUUGCCGUGGAAGUACCAGUCUGUCAUAGCCAUGCUUCGCAGAGCUUCAUGUCUCCCAGCAGAAUAAAAUGUAGUGAGUACUUUUAAAUAAGUGUGCAUUCAGGAAGAAAAGAUGUAGCAUAACCCCAAACAUUAGUGACUCAGGCCUGAGGGAUAAGAAGUGUGCUAAGAGUCAGGCUGCCAAACCAAUUAGACUGGAAACAUGUAUUUAGUUCUUUUCAGAAGACCCUCUAUUGCUUUGAACUGUCUUUCUAAUUAGGGGAUUAAUACAAUCUAGCUGACAGCUACAUUACCCUGUCACUUUUCUACAAAUUAUAUCUAUAAAAAUUCACAGACUUACAAACCCCAGAUUUUGAGAUUAAAAUGCUCUGUGAUUUGCUAUGUUUCAUGCAAAGUUAACUGAUUUAAUGCAUUCUCUUAGAAACUUUUUAACGUCCUGUGCCAAUUACACUUUACAUAAAUAUCAGUCCUUUGGUUAAGUCAAUUAGUGUAGGGUUAUAAAGCAAACAAGAGUCCUAAACUUCUGUUUAUGGGCAUGGUUUUCUGUGUUUAUGACUAUAAUUCUCAAAGCAUAAGCUUGUAGAGUCAUCACUUCAGAAUCUGGAAAUGUUCUGGCACCUGCUGUAAAGAAUGCAGUAUUUGUGUUUAAGCAAAGGUGUGCACUGAAUUCUAACAGAUACAAAGCAACCCAGACAAUCUAGUCUCAUUCAACACACACUUCGUGGCCGCCAGUGGGGACACCAUUGCUAUUCUCAUCUUGGCUUCCUCCUGCAGGCACUCAGGCUUAUGCUGAUACCUUGGAGGCACAGAGUGAUUUAUUGAUCAGUGUUAAUAUCCUAAAUCUGUAGUUAACAAAUAGCCGUAGAACUCCGGGUUCAUGGAAGGUCAAGGCAGGCAAGGUGGGGAAAGGGGAAGGGGGAUUGUCAUAUGCUGGGCACGAAUCUAAGAAGGUACUUUGUCUCAUUUGCAUUAAUUAUUACAAUAAACCAUAGACAUGGCUAUAAUAUCAUAAUAGACGUAAUAUUGUAAUAGACAUAAUACCGUCAUGUCAUAUGUGAGCAAUCUGAUUUAGCUGCAGUGUCUAUGGUGUUAUUUAAAGAACAUCUAUAACAACCAGUUAAACUCUUCUCCCCAGUGCCCUUCCAACCCUAAUCCAUCCUUCCGGCUACUCCCCUAAAGUUCCUGGAGUCUCCAUUGAGCAAGGCAAUGUUAGCUGUGUGGCCACACAAUACAUACACAUUAGCAUGACCUAGGAUGCUUGUAAAAAAUCCACUUGUUUUUGCAAAUUGCUGGGAUUCAUGAUUUGGGAAUGGGAAAUCGGGAUUCCCAUAAUCAUAAAUUAUUCUGUAUUUUUCAUAACAUCCUAUUUAUGUGUUUUUAAACAAUAAUGAGAGACCGUAAUAAUACAGAAUGAAUUAUUUUCCUGUGAUAUAGUUAUCUGAAAAAUUUCAGUGGUUUUCCAUGAAAAAGAUAUAAAAUAAAUGCAUGGCUACUUAUUGUUAUUAACCAACAUACUGGGUUAAGAUUAUAUAUUUCAAUAACACCCAAAAAUAUUCUGUACUUGAUAUAGGCUUUGAAGAUAGAAAAUAUUAAAAUAUGGAAACAUUGAUUCAAAAUAAAUAUCCUAUAGAUGUCAUUAAAAAUGGAAAGAUAGUACCAAGCAGUAUUUGCCCUGUCUGAUAGUCUUCAAUUUUGUUUCUUGAAAGAUAUUCUGGAUGGAGAAAAUUUCUUUGAUUUUGGUUGAAUUGCUAAGAAGUCAUCCAAAAACUUCUUCAAUUCAGGAAAAAAGGUAUUUCCAAAGGAAGUAGCUGUUCUUUUUAGACUUCGAAAGAUGCUUUGGAAAUGACUAGUGGGAGAAGAGAAGAAACAAAUGUGAUGGAGUCGUGUAUAUUGUGCAAGAUUAGAACUGUACUAAAGAUGAACAUGCUUAAUCUGCUGGGAGUAGGGAAAGGGAUGCUAAUAGCAUGCAGUUGAGGACCUUUGACUUCAGGUAUCACAAAUACAAUGGGCCCUUGAACACAGCCAAGACUAGGGGUGCCAAGCAAGUGGAACAUCUGUGUGUACAGCUUCACAGUCAGUCCUCCUUAUCCAAAGUUUCACGUAUGCAGAUUCAACCAACCAUGGACCAUAGUACUGUAGUAUGUAUGUAUUUUUUAAUUUUUAUUUUCUAUAGUAAAUAUUUAUUGGAAAAAAUAAAAACAUUCUAUAAGUGAAUCCACACAGUUCAAACCCAUGAUGUUCAAGGGUCGACUUUCCUCUAUCAUGACCAACAAGAGAGGAAACAACUGGGCUGUAUUUCUUUUUCCUUUUUUUUUUUUUUGUCUUUUUUUUUAGGGCCACACCCACCACAUAUGGAGGUUCCAGGCUAGGGGCCUAAUCGGUGCUGUUGCUGCCUGCCUACGUCACAGCCACAGCAAUGCCAGAUCCGAGACAUGUCUGCGACCUACACCACAGCUCAUGGCAACACCAGAUCCUUAACCCACUGAGCAAGGCCAGGGAUCGAACCCGCAACCUCAUAGUUCCUAGUCGGAUUUGUUUCUACUGCACCACCACCACAGGAACUCCUUCUUUUUCCUUUUUUCUUUAGUAUUUGAUUGGUAUUAACAAUACCAGUCACGUGGCUCUGAAUAUCAGAGGCAAGUGGAGGUGCUAAAAACUACUGUAAUGCUACUUUACCCAAAUCUCUUUUAUCAUGUUCUCACCACUAAAAAAUGAUAAAUAGAUUUAAUUUAACAUUAUGAAAAAGGAGCUUCAGCUUAAAAUCUUUUCCAUUUUGAAGUUAUAUUUGACCAUUAAAUGCACACAAAUAGAAAGAAGAAAAAUCAUUCCCAGCACCAUACUUAAACACAGCCUUUGUUAAUAAUUUAACAAAGUUUAUCUAUAAAUAGCUCUAAUCUUUUAAACAUGUAACACAGAGGUCCUUGAGUUUGUAUUCAUAAAUGAAAUUGCAACUUUUUUUCUUUAAACUUUUCAUUGAAAUAUAUACAAGAAAAAUGAAACUAAAUGUCCAGAUCAAUGAUUUUUCACAAAUUGAACACCAUCAUCAUCAACAACUAUAUCGGAGUUCCCGACAUGGCUCAGUGGUUAACGAACCUGACUAGUAUCCAAGAGGAUGCCGGUACAAUCCCUGACCUUGCUCGGUGGUUUAAGGAUAUGGUGUUGCCGUGAGCUAUGGUAUAGGUCACAGACAUGGCUCAGAUCCUGUGUUGCUGUGACUGUGGCAGAGGCUGGUGGCUGCAGCUCCAAAUUGGACCCCUAGCCUGGGAACCUCCAUAUGCUCCAGGUGUGUCCCUAAAAAGACAAAAAACAAAAACAAAAACAACCUUAUAAAAAAGCUGGACACUAAGAGAACCCCAGAAGUCCCUUUUAUUUGUAGUACCUGCACCACCUUUCCCUGAAAGGAGAAACACUAUUGAGAUUUUUUAUAGCCUAGAUUGUUUUUAUCUAUUAUACCGUAUGUCCCUGGAAUCACACAGUAUGUAUUUUUUUGUUUGAUUGCUUUCACUCAGCAUUGUUUGUCUUGUUAAUUAAUAUUUUUGCAAAUAAUUGUAGAUUGUUCAGUCUCAUUGCUGCAUUCAGUUGUGUGAACAAACGAUAAUUAUCUAUUCUAUUGUUCAUGUGGAUUUGGAUAUUUGCAUAUUUGGGCUAUUUCACAUAAUGCUUUUAUGAAAAUUUUGGUACAAAUCUUUUAGUGAAUAUAUGCACACAUUUGGAUACUGCCAAAUAUUUUCCCGAAGUAGUAUACCAAUUUACAACUUUAUCAGCAGCAUAUGAGAGUUUUGGAUUUAACAUCUUGUCAAUAUUUGUUUCUUCUGUUUUGUUUCCUUUUAGCCAUUCCAGUGGCUGUGUAUUGGUAUCGCAUUGUGGUGACUUCUUUGAUGACUAACAGAGGAAAACCUACCACUUUUUCAUAAUUUAUAUUGUCCAUUUGAAUAUCGUUUUGUGUAUAAUCAAAACUUUUGCACAUUUUUCUGUUAUCUUUUCUUUAUUAUUGAUUCAUAAUGCUCCUUAUAUAUUUUAGAAAUUAUUUUUUAGAUUGAUAUCUAAUCCUAUUGUGAAGUUUGCCUUUUUAUUCUCCUAAUGAUGUUGUUUGAUGGACAUACAUUUUAGUUUUAAUAUAGUCCAAUUUGUCAAUAUUUUAAUAGUGACUUUGUGUCCCAUCUUUGUCUACUUCAAGGUCAGAAAGGUGUCCAGCUUACUUUUACACUAAAUACUUUAGAUAUUUUCUUUUUACUUAUAUAUUUAAAAUCCAUCUUGAAUUGAGUUUUGUGUAUGGUGGGAUAUUUUGUGUCCUGUGUGACGCAGGACUCAGCAAACUCUGUGUGAAAAUCCAGCUGUCCUUUUGAAAAGUAAAAGCAUUAGUGG